GAGUGAUUAUAAAGAUAUUCUUAACCCCAUGGUAAUACAGGAUUGGUUAAGAGGUGCACUUAGCAACAGCAUUCAAAGGUACUUUGAAACUGUUUCUGAUGUUCUUAGCUCAGUAAA